AUGUUGCUUAGAACCUUGGAAGUUACGGACUUCUCUUGUAGAUCCACUCCUUUUGCUCUAUUUUCUUUGAAAACUAACUUGAGAUUUGAAACAAGGGAAGAAAACGGAUCAAGAAAAAUAUUUAGAAAAAAUCGAUUCCGAGCUACUCACGGCAGAGCCGCCUUGAGCUUCGCCAGAAAUCGUCGUGCUCAGCCGCAUAUUCAUAACCCUGUGUCGUCUGUUCUUCCUUCUUCCACCAUGUUUAAUCCUCUAUCUCUUUUAAUUUUUGAUUGUUUUGUUUAUUGA